UACGGAGGAUGCAAGCGUUAUCCGGAAUGAUUGGGCGUAAAGCGUCCGCAGGUGGCAAUGUAAGUCUGCUGUCAAAGCGUCUGGCUCAACCAGAUAAAGGCAGUGGAAACUACAUAGCUAGAGUAAGGUAGGGGUAGAGGGAAUUCCUGGUGUAGCGGUGAAAUGCGUAGAGAUCAGGAAGAACACCGGUGGCGAAAGCGCUCUGCUAGGCCGCAACUGACACUGAGGGACGAAAGCGAGGGGAGCGAAUGGG
rnacentral:rRNA from 1 species